rnacentral:rRNA from 1 species
AUUGAACGCUGGCGGCAUGCCUUACACAUGCAAGUCGAACGGCAGCGCGGGAGCAAUCCUGGCGGCGAGUGGCGAACGGGUGAGUAAUGCAUCGGAACGUGCCUAGUAGUGGGGGAUAACUGCUCGAAAGAGCAGCUAAUACCGCAUACGACCUGAGGGUGAAAGGGGGGGAUCGCAAGACCUCUCGCUAUUAGAGCGGCCGAUGUCGGAUUAGCUAGUUGGUGGGGUAAAGGCCCACCAAGGCAACGAUCCGUAGCUGGUCUGAGCGGACGACCAGGCACACUGGGAAUCGAACACGGCCCAGGCUCGGACGGGAGGCAGCAGUGGGGAAGUUUGGACCAUGGCAGCAAGUCUGAUCCAGCCAUGCCGCGUGCGGGAAGAAGGCCUUCGGGUUGUAAACCGCUUUUGUCAGGGAAGAAAUCUUCUGGGCUAAUACCCUGGGAGGAUGACGGUACCCGAAGAAUAAGCACCGGCUAACUACGUGCCAGCCGCCGCCGUAAUAC